rnacentral:rRNA from 1 species
UCCAGGAAAAGCCUCUAAGCAUCAGGUAACAUCAAAUCGUACCCCAAACCGACACAGGUGGUCAGGUAGAGAAUACCAAGGCGCUUGAGAGAACUCGGGUGAAGGAACUAGGCAAAAUGGUGCCGUAACUUCGGGAGAAGGCACGCUGAUAUGUAGGUGAAGUCCCUCGCGGAUGGAGCUGAAAUCAGUCGAAGAUACCAGCUGGCUGCAACUGUUUAUUAAAAACACAGCACUGUGCAAACACGAAAGUGGACGUAUACGGUGUGACGCCUGCCCGGUGCCGGAAGGUUAAUUGAUGGGGUCAGCGCAAGCGAAGCUCUUGAUCGAAGCCCCGGUAAACGGCGGCCGUAACUAUAACGGUCCUAAGGUAGCGAAAUUCCUUGUCGGGUAAGUUCCGACCUGCACGAAUGGCGUAAUGAUGGCCAGGCUGUCUCCACCCGAGACUCAGUGAAAUUGAACUCGCUGUGAAGAUGCAGUGUACCCGCGGCAAGACGGAAAGACCCCGUGAACCUUUACUAUAGCUUGACACUGAACAUUGAGCCUUGAUGUGUAGGAUAGGUGGGAGGCUUAGAAGUGUGGACGCCAGUCUGCAUGGAGCCGACCUUGAAAUACCACCCUUUAAUGUUUGAUGUUCUAACGUUGACCCGUAAUCCGGGUUGCGGACAGUGUCUGGUGGGUAGUUUGACUGGGGCGGUCUCCUCCUAAAGAGUAACGGAGGAGCACGAAGGUUGGCUAAUCCUGGUCGGACAUCAGGAGGUUAGUGCAAUGGCAUAAGCCAGCUUGACUGCGAGCGUGACGGCGCGAGCAGGUGCGAAAGCAGGUCAUAGUGAUCCGGUGGUUCUGAAUGGAAGGGCCAUCGCUCAACGGAUAAAAGGUACUCCGGGGAUAACAGGCUGAUACCGCCCAAGAGUUCAUAUCGACGGCGGUGUUUGGCACCUCGAUGUCGGCUCAUCACAUCCUGGGGCUGAAGUAGGUCCCAAGGGUAUGGCUGUUCGCCAUUUAAAGUGGUACGCGAGCUGGGUUUAGAACGUCGUGAGACAGUUCGGUCCCUAUCUGCCGUGGGCGCUGGAGAACUGAGGGGGGCUGCUCCUAGUACGAGAGGACCGGAGUGGACGCAUCACUGGUGUUCGGGUUGUCAUGCCAAUGGCACUGCCCGGUAGCUAAAUGCGGAAGAGAUAAGUGCUGAAAGCAUCUAAGCACGAAACUUGCCCCGAGAUGAGUUCUCCCUGACCCUUUAAGGGUCCUGAAGGAACGUUGAAGACGACGACGUUGAUAGGCCGGGUGUGUAAGCGCAGCGAUGCGUUGAGCUAACCGGUACUAAUGAACCGUGAGGCUUAACCUU